UACGUAGGGGGCAAGCGUUUGUCCGGAAUCAUUGGGCGUAAAGCGCGUGUAGGCGGCUCGAUAAGUCUGCUGUGAAAGUCCAGGCUCAACCCUGGGAUGCCGGUGGAUACUGUCGAGCUCGAGUCCGGAAGAGGCGAAGUGGAAUUCCUGGUGUAGCGGUGAAAUGCGCAGAUAUCAAGGAGGAACACCGAUGGCGAAGGCAGAUCUCUGGGCCGUAACUGACGCUGGAGGAGCGAAAGCGUGGGGAGC
rnacentral:rRNA from 1 species